AGACGGGGACCCGCACAAGCGGUGGAUGAUGUGGAUUAAUUCGAUGCAACGCGAAGAACCUUACCUACCCUUGACAUGUCCGGAACUUGCCAGAGAUGGCUUGGUGCCCGAAAGGGAAUCGGAACACAGGUGCUGCAUGGCUGUCGUCAGCUCGUGUCGUGAGAUGUUGGGUUAAGUCCCGCAACGAGCGCAACCCUUAUCAUUAGUUGCUACGCAAGGGCACUCUAAUGAGACUGCCGGUGACAAACCGGAGGAAGGUGGGGAUGACGUCAAGUCCUCAUGGCCCUUAUGGGUAGGGCUUCACACGUCAUACAAUGGUCGGUACAGAGGGUUGCCAAGCCGCGAGGCGGAGCCAAUCCCACAAAGCCGAUCGUAGCCCGGAUUGUUCUCUGCAACUCGAGAGCAUGAAGUCGGAAUCGCUAGUAAUCGCAGGUCAGCAUACUGCGGUGAAUACGUUCCCGGGUCUU
rnacentral:rRNA from 1 species